CCUACGGGAGGCAGCAGUGGGGAAUAUUGCACAAUGGGGGAAACCCUGAUGCAGCGACGCCGCGUGAGUGAAGAAGUAGUUCGGUAUGUAAAGCUCUAUCAGCAGGGAAGAAAAUGACGGUACCUGACUAAGAAGCCCCGGCUAACUACGUGCCAGCAGCCGGGGUAAUACGUAGGGGGCAAGCGUUAUCCGGAUGUACUGGGUGUAAAGGGAGCGUAGACGGUUCUGCAAGUCUGGAGUGAAAGGCGGGGGCUUAACCCCCGCACGGCUGUGGAAACUGUGCGGCUGGAGUGCGGCAGAGGCAAGCGGAAUUCCUGGUGUAGCGGUGAAAUGCGUAGAUAUUAGGCGGAACACCAGUGGCGAAGGCGGCUUGCUGGACUGUAACUGACGUUGAGGCACGAAAGCGUGGGGAGCGAACAGGAUUAGAUACCCUAGUAGUC
rnacentral:rRNA from 1 species